rnacentral:tRNA from 1 species
GCCGGCUUAGCUCAGUUGGUAGAGCACCGCUCUUGUAAAGCGGGGGUCGUGGGUUCGAGCCCCUCAGCCGGCACCA